ensembl:lncRNA
GCACAAUCCUGGUUUUGGGGCUAGGAUGUACUGUGGAGAUCAGGGCAGAUGGGGAAGUGGAGAGUAGAUGGGAUAGAAGGUACAAAUGCUUAUGUGAGUUUGGGAUUCUUCUCUGUUACAAUCACACACUUGGAAGCUUAAACAAAAAAAAAUCCCUGCAUGUUUGGAAUAUAGCAUGUUUUUCAUUCUUCCCUAGGCAUUCCAUAAACCGAACAUGGACACGAAAACAGGCUUCUUUGUGUUUUCUUCCUGAUCUAAGUGACAUGAAGUGUCAGGUAGACAAGUGUUGUUUAUCCAACAAAUCUGCACUACACAGUGACACAAUCACAGGUGAAGAGAUUGACAGCCUCCAAAAACGUCAUGUUUUUAACAUGCAGAAGUUAAAGAAUUCAGAGUUGAGAUUCACUGAAGCCAAGCAAAAAAUAAGAGAACUUGCACUUAAUAUCAAAAUGAAAAAGGAACUUAUUAAGGAAUUAGCAAGAACAGGUAAGUGGCUACUGUAGGAAAAAUUAGAAUGAAGAAGUUCAGAAAAAAAAGAGAAGUCACAAAACUUUUGAAGUCCUGCUUUAGUUUUUAUGUAAUUAUGCAAGAAUACUUUUAGUAAAGAUUCAUAACUUUCAUUAUUUGCUAUGACUGCACUGAAGGCUGUAAAUUUUGAUUACAGUCUACUCUGCUGUGAUACACAAAUGUGUUUGUUAUAUUUUUUUGUGCUUUGCUGAUUUUUGCUUUUAUCCACUAAUAGUCUAACUUUUCAUGUAUGCUUAGUGCUACUGAUCUGUUUGUGGACAUGUAUUUGUCACAUGGUGUCUGGGGUAGGAGAGGAGAUACACCAUUGUGCUGCGAAUGCAAACAUUCCCAGCACUGCAGUAGAGAAGCAGGAGUCAGAAGUGGGUGAGGGAAAAGGUCAGUGUCCCUGUUAGCCUACACCCUUACACAUCUGUCCUGGUAUGUAUGUAUCUACAUGCCUGCCAAAAACUAGCCUUAUUAUGACUGUAAGGGUCUCUUUGCUCAGCCCCUUCAAUCACACUCUUCUCUUGUGCAUACCUUCUCUUGAGGUUGUCUUUUGGCACUGAGAAAGAUUGUGUGCCCCCCAAAGUAGUACUUUGGAAAGAUAACACAAACAGGCCAUGUAAGAGAGCAGAAACACAAUCCAAAGCUGUUUACUAAUUAUUAAGAUGAUAGUUGAGUAAUAAAUAAACAGCAUAUUCUUCUGGAAAAAGCAAAAUUUAUCAAACACAUGAGAGCCAUUUUCACAAAAACUACAGCAGGAAGAAGAAUUUCACUUUAUUUGGGACUAAGGUGGCACUUUAUUUGGUGACAAAUGGUGACUCAUAAAGAACUCAGUUUUAAGACUCUUUCCUUUAUUUCAGAGUUAUAAAGGAACUAUAUGUUCCUUUAAGGUUGGAAAAUAUCUCAGAAAUUACUAAUUUAGCCAGAAUGAAGUAAGUAAUACAACUACAGAAUCAAGUAUUACAUUUCAACUGAUUAUCCUGAUGUUUUUAAACUAUCUCGAUAUGAUGUCUUUAAGGUAAGGAUGCUCAGUUUGUAAGCAGGCAGUGUUCUUUGAAAAUAACUAAACUGGAACAAGAAUCUGAGCAGGCCAAACUGGAAUUGGCUGAAACGCAAAAGCAGCUUCAGGAGCUCCAGAGUAAUAAGGAGCUGAGAGACAUUCCUGAGAAAACAAAGUUAC